GCCAGACAGAAGAAGGGACACCUGGGGCAAAGUCUGCGAGGCUUCCAGAGGCAAAGCUUUGGCAUCCUCAGAGAUGCUUUAUCCUCCCAGCAUGCAAGUGUGGCAGUAAUCAAAGGGCAUUGCCAACAAAGGAAGCUCACCUGAGCUUCACUGUCGAGUUUCUAUUUGGGAUUCCUUAUGUAGGCGUGAUGCAUGAUGAAUUGAAUCUGUGAACUGAUCAAAUCAUCGGCCAUGUGGUUGAGCUCAAUAUCUAGCCUUCCCAGAGGUCAGGCCGGUAGCCUGUGUCUCCUAUCUCAAAGCCCCAGCCCUCUAGUAGCUAGUUGGCCUCUCUGGCAUGACUAGCCUCCAUCCCGAGUCAUGUCUUAUGCAUAAACUUUGGAACCCACCAGGAAUAACAAGGACACUCCUAUCACUUGGAGAUUCCAAGGAUGUAGAGGCUCCCUCCAAGGUUCCAGAAGGCCAGCCAAGUUCUUUAUUAUAUACCAACUGAUUGCUGUGACUUAGCGGUUAAUGAAAAGUGGGACUUGGGGUUCCUUUAGAUUUCAGGCCUGACGCAACCCCUUGGAUACAGACUACAUGAAAUGAAAGUGUUAAGAAGGAUGUGUGCAUGCUAUUUGUUUACUCCGAAGAGUGACCCUUGGAGCCAAUAUCAGUUUACAGGCUGCCCUGGCUUGCUGGGGCACAGACAGUGAAGAGCAUAUUCAGAAUGAAGGAGGUGUUACUCUAGAGCAGUGGCUCUCCGACUUGCAUCAGAAUCACCUGGAGAUCUUGUUAACAUGCAGACUUCAGGGUCCUGCCCCUGAGUCUUAACUGGUCUGGAAGAGAGCCCAAGAGUUGCCCUGUCUGUGGAGUUUCCGGGUGAUGCUGAUCCUGCUGGCCCGGGGACGGCACUUCAAGAAGUGGAAGAAUAGCCUCUGUGGUUAUCGCUCUGUCACCCAGGCUGGAGUACGGCAGUGCAAUCAUGGCUCAUUGCAGCCUUGACCUCCUAGGCUCAAGUGAUUCUUCAUCCUCGGCUUCCCAAAUAGCUGGACUACAGAAAGUGAAAGAAGGGGGAAGACUCAAGAUGGCCAAAUAGGCACAGCUCUGGAAUGGAAUUCCCAGCAAGAACAAUGCAGAGGCAGUGCCAGACAGGACGUCGGCUUUGAAGUUGAUGGUGCUUUUCUUCAGUGCCUCUUUCUGUUGGAGUGGGGCAGGUCAAGCUUGGGGCUGGUGGUGCUGCACAUACUGGAGCUGGAGCAUACAAAGUCACCCAGCCCUGUGUCUGAAUGGGAAAAAACAGUGUUGUCUGUUGUCUCACCAUGUGUUGGAGACGUCCUGAGGCGUAUCGUGCUUGCAUCUGGUUGGUCAGAAGUGUUGUACUCAAAGCUGUGUCUAUAGAGGGAGACAAUAAAAAAAGAUGUGACCAUUGAUAAAAGUGAAUCAACUCGUUUAUUCGGCUGCUGCAUUUAGGCUGUUUACCUACCUCUACUUUUAUCUAUUGAAAUGAAUGUAUAGACAUAGGAUAGAACCAGGCAAGAUGGCACACGCUUGUAGUCCCAGCUCCUCAGGAGGCUGAGAUGGGAAAAUCCCUUGAACCCAGGUCAGGAAUUUGAGGCCACCAUGAGUAACACAACGAGACCCUCCUUUAUUUAAAAACAAACAAAGGAACAAAAAAAGAAAAAUGUUGGCUUUGAGUCGUACAAAAUCAGCUUUGCAUAAAAUAAAUCAAGAUGGCAGUACAUUUUAAAAGACAGGUCUAUUUUAUAGGCAAAAUAUGUAUCCUGGAGUUUAAAUUAAAAAAAAAAAUUCGGCAUAUCUGUCAUUUCCAUGUCAUUCUGAGGACACAGAACCUUAGUUCUGUUAAGUAGCUGUCUUCCAUAGUCAUGUGAGAUCUCUAAGUCUUUAU
rnacentral:lncRNA from 1 species